UGGAGCGUGGCCAAGUGGUAAGGCAAUGGGUUUUGGUCCUGCUAAUUGAAGGUACAAAUCCUUCCGUCCCAU